CCCAGACUCCUACGGGAGUCAGCAGUGGGGGAUAUUGCACAAUGGGGGGAACCCUGAUGCAGCGACGCCGCGUGGGUGAAGGAGCGUUUCGGCGCGUAAAGCCCUAUCGGCAGGGAAGAAGGAGGACGGUACCUGACUAAGAAGCCCCGGCUAACUACGUGCCAGCAGCCGCGGUAAUACGUAGGGGGCAAGCGUUAUCCGGAUUUACUGGGUGUAAAGGGGGCGCAGACGGCAGCGCAAGCCAGGAGUGAAAGCCCGGGGCCCAACCCCGGGACUGCUCUUGGAACUGCGCGGCUGGAGUGCAGGAGGGGCAGGCGGAAUUCCUAGUGUAGCGGUGAAAUGCGUAGAUAUUAGGAGGAACACCAGUGGCGAAGGCGGCCUGCUGGACGAUGACUGACGCUGAGGCUCGAAAGCGUGGGGAGCAAACAGGAUUAGAUACCCGAGUAAAG
rnacentral:rRNA from 1 species